GUGGAAGGAGAGAACCAAUUCCGACAGCUGGCCUUCGACUUCCACAUAUGUGUCGUGGUAUUCUUUCUGCAAGGUGGCUUGAUGUAAGCUGAGCCUUUAAGGUGACAUAAAGUAUUUUUGGUUCAGCAAAAUUGUAUAUAUCUGCCAUCUGUGUUACAAAGAUAGAAAGAUAAAAUAAGACACGGAGAGCUUUUGGCUGAAAGCACCCUAUGCCUACCUAAGGACCAUGACAACUAAUUUACAACCACAGUUAAAGUGGACUAUACAGAAACUCACAGUUGUGAAUCUUGGUAGGGCAAAGCAUUCCUUGCCAGUGUCGUGAGAAGCCAACACAAUGGGGAAUGUUCAAGAGAUCCCAUUCGUCAUGGAAUCGAACAAGGUUAGUGUGUGGACUAACCAAGACACCUAACUUUAUGGAUUAUGAUGAUGUUAGUGUCUCAUCGCUAUGGCAAACUAUCUGACAGAAUCCAUAUAAGGGAGGGAUUAGAUUGGCUACAGCCCAACAUAUUGAGGAAGUUGUCGUGUAGGAGCAUAAGUGGUUGGUCCCAUUAUGUCCACAGUCAGGAGGCUGAGAGGCACAAGUCCUGGUGUUCAGCUCACGCUUUCUUUGCUGUUGAGUUCAUGGUGGUGCUCACAUUAGAGCUAGUUUUCCAUUCUCAGUUAGUUCUUUCUCAACAUGCGUUCAUAGACACACCCAGAGGUGUGUUCCCAUGGUGAUUCUAAAUUCAGUCAAAUUGACAAGGAAGAUGAACCCUCAGAGGGUUGGAUGUCAUUUCUCUGAAAAUUUGACUUAGCUUUUCGCUUUUCACUUUUGCAUGGCAAAGGGAGCCGUCAGCAGAGUGAAGAGAUAAUCUAAAAAAAAUGGAGGAAAAUUUUAGUCAGCUGCACUCCAGACAGGGGUUAAGAUCAAUCAAUCAACCGAUCAAACAUCAAUAAAUGGGUAAGCAGCAGAACAGACAGUUCUCAAGAGAGGAAACACAAAUGGACAAUAAAUAUUUCAAACUGUUCCAUUAGGGAAAUUCUAACUACUUUGAGUUUCCAUUUUACCCCAGUUAGAAUCUCAUCAAUGAAUCAAACAACAACAAAUGGUGGUGAGGAUAUCAGGGAAGGGGAACCUUUAUUCCUCACUGGAGCUGCCUUUAAUGAAUCUCAGAGGAAAAUCUUAAGAAGCCAAAGAGUAAAAGUGUUCUAAACCACUUCCAAAAUGUUUUAAACAGGACAGAUUUCAUGCCUGUAAACCUGUGUAGCCUUACAUUUCCUGGCUCCCUCGGAGUCUACUUUUUUUUUUUGUUUCUUUGUUUUUGUUUUUUUGUUUUUUUUCAGAGCUG
rnacentral:sRNA from 1 species